UGUUAACACUAGGGGAGCUAGUUGAUGAGCUGAGAGGAACGGUGCACGUUCUGACCCUUUGUACCCGAACAGGAUAAUGCCUGCGUGGGAAAGUGUGGUCAUACCUGA
rnacentral:ncRNA from 1 species